UCUUUACUUUGUACCCCCCAAGGCAAACUCUUAUUACCUGACAUCCAGAUGCACUCUGCUGCUUUGCAACUUCGAAGCAUGAUUAUCUAAGAUGUUGACAGUACGAAGAACGGAGUGAGAGGGUCUUUUCAACACUGAUGGUCAAAAAUGCUUGGGACCAGAUAGGAAAAUUCUUGGCACGAUCACAGCAGAGCUGCUGCAGGUAAC